rnacentral:rRNA from 1 species
UAAUACGGAGGAUGCAAGCGUUAUCCGGAUUCAUUGGGUUUAAAGGGUGCGCAGGUGGGAAAAUAAGUCAGUGGUGAAAUACUGCCGCUUAACGGUAGAAUUGCCAUUGAUACUGUUUUUCUUGAGUAUGGUUGAGGUAGGUGGAAUGUGUUGUGUAGCGGUGAAAUGCAUAGAUAUGACACAGAACGCCAAUUGCGAAGGCAGCUUACUAAGCCAUUACUGACGCUGAGGCACGAAAGCGUGGGGAUCAAACAGG